rnacentral:tRNA from 1 species
GGGGACAGAAGGGACUCUGGUGAGCUCCACGGUCUUCAAAACCGAUGGGGGCGGCAGCCCCGCCCCGGUGUGUUCGAUCCGCACCUGCCCCCGCCA